GUAAUGAGAAGAACAUUGAAAAGAGCAUCACAUCAGAAUAUCGAGGUGGGCCUGGAAGUUGGUGGGAGUGUGGCCUGGAUGUGGAAGGCGGGACCUGUCUUUGGCUCACCUGCCUUCCCACAGCUCACCUGGAGCUGUGGCACCAGCAUUAGAGCCCGGUCAUGGAGUGUGGUGCCCUCAGACUGCUGUCACACCACCUCUGUGAUGGAGAACAAGUUCAGCAGCCUUCAGUAGACAUACAAGCUGGACAGCCAGGGCUUCUGGCCAACCAGACGCAGCAAGAUGGAAUUCCACUGCAAAGUGUACAGCAACUUAGUAUGUGGAGAUGAACAGCAGCAAGGUGUUUUUAAUGGCAUGCCCUAUGCCACCAUGCUCAGGGGAGAUGCUGCUGCUUGCCAGAAGCAUGGGGAUGGCAGGCCUGAGGCUCCACUUCACUGAACUCUACCAUCAUUAUAGAAGUUUUGGAGUAGCCUACGAAAGACAGAAUCAUGUCAUUGGUCAGAAGACAAAAUCCUGUACAGUGAGUAGUUCUCACUGUAGAUAUGUAGAUUUAUUACCCUAAAAACAAUGCUAAUUUGGCAUUGGUUCAUGUAGCACCUGCUAUGAACAAAUGCCUAAAAUUAGAAGCAGUUUCUCCUAAAGUAAGAUUACAUGAGGCCAGGCGUGGUGGUUCACGCCUGUAAUCCCAGCACUUCAGGAGGCCAAGGCGGGCGGAUCACGAGGUCAGGAGAUUGAGACCAUCCUGGCUAACAGAGUGAAACCCCGUCUCUACUAAAAAUACCAAAAAUUAGCCGGGGGUGGUGGCUGGCACCUGUAGUCCCAUCUACUCGGGAGGCUGAGGCAGGAGAAUGGCGUGAACCUGGAAGGCUUGUUGACCAAUGACGGUCAACAAGCAUGUAAAAAAUGUUCAACAUUGCCAAUGAUCAGAGAAAUGCUAAUUAAAAAUCACAAUGAAAUUUUGUACAAUUUUUUACAAUCACAUUUUACACUUUCAUAAUGGCUAAUUAUUACAAAGCAGAAAAAGGAUAGAUAUUGGCAAGCAUACAGAGAUUUUUCAGAAAACUAAAUAGAAUUUCCAUUUGAUCCAGCACUCCCACUAUUGGGUAUCUACUUAAAGGAAAAUAAUUCAUUAUGUAAAGAAGAUACCCACACUCAUAUGUUUAUUGAAGCACUAUUGACAGUAGCAAAGAUAGCAUAUCUUCAAUUUAAAUUUAUCAAUCAAUUGAAAUUUAUCAAUGACUGACUAUACAUUUAUACCAUGGAAUACUACUCAGUCAGAAAGAAUAAAAUCAUCUUUUGCAGCCA